rnacentral:rRNA from 1 species
UACGUAGGUGGCAAGCGUUGUCCGGAAUUAUUGGGCGUAAAGGGCGCGCAGGCGGCCUGUCAAGUCUGUCUUAAAAGUGCGGGGCUCAACCCCGUGAUGGGACGGAAACUGGCAGGCUGGAGUGUCGGAGAGGAAAGCAGAAUUCCUAGUGUAGCGGUGAAAUGCGUAGAUAUUAGGAGGAAUACCAGUGGCGAAGGCGGCUUUCUGGACUGUGUCUGACGCUGAGGAGCGAAAGCCGAGGGGAGCGAACGGG